AGCCCCCUUUUCCUUCUCUUUUUUCCCAUUUCGCAUUUUCAGCAAGGACAGGAGACUAGGAAGGCGGAGGGAGGCUGCUAUUGGCAGGGCCUCAGUGGAGACCUCCCGGGGUCCCGGGACGCAGACGGACGGGCCUGAAUCGCUCGCCUUGGUGAAAUGGGAUCCAGCGCUGCCAACUGCGGCAACUGCGGUUAAAGGAGACGACCCCGUGCAGCAGGAGGAGGUUAUUUAGAAUAAGGAAGAAUGCGCCGGGCUCAUUGGUCGCUACAGGGGCAUAAAUUUUUUCUAGGAUUCCAGAGUAUGGCUGCUCCAGUCCCAGGUUCGGCUCGACUUACAGACCUCAGCGCAGGACGUGGACGCCCUGCAAAGGAGGACAUUUCAGCGGACGGCAGAGAAUACAGAUUUAUGCCAGCGCCCUGCGGAAGGAGCCUCUGGCGGGUCAUCUCCAUUUAUGGGAGAUCGCAGAGCGGUGAGCAAAGUCUUGCACCAGCGGGGAUGUCGGGGUGGAACUGAACCUGUUGUAGGGGACCCCCAGUGUGCCCUGGUUUCUGGGGCUGAUUCAUUACGUCACUUAGUUUCUACUAUUCUCAUGCCACCCCGCCAAUUACUAGACAUAAAACGUUCCCAGGGAAGCCCGGCUAGCUCAGUCGGUAGAGCAUGGGACUCUUAAUCUCAGGGUCGUGGGUUCGAGCCCCACGUUGGGCGACUUGUUUUCUUCCUUGCUACCUUGGAGUUCUGGAAACAGCCAGCAUUUAAUGAACACUACCAGGUGCCACAUCGCGCUCUGUGAUGGUAUCCCCUCAAUGAUUGAAUUUUGGUCUCCGCGCGCUCCCAGCAGCAAGGAUUGUCAGUGAAAUGACCAAAGGCAGCACCGGGACGGGCUGGUUGCCAGCCAGGGG
rnacentral:tRNA from 10 species